UUGCCGAUGCAUACCAGCACUAAUGCGGCCCGAAUCCCACCAGAACUCGAAGCGUUAAGCGUGUUAGCCGGAGAGUAGUACUAGAUAUGUGACGCCACGGGAAGUCCUCGCUGUUCGACAUC
rnacentral:rRNA from 1 species